GCGGGUGUGGUGGAAUGGUAGACACAAGGAACUUAAAAUUCCCGGCCUAGGCGUGAGGGUUCGAAUCCCUCCACCCGCACCA
rnacentral:tRNA from 1 species